rnacentral:sRNA from 1 species
UCGUAAGAGGCGGCGC